rnacentral:rRNA from 1 species
UACGGAGGGUGCAAGCAUUAAUCGGAUUUAUUGGGCGUAAAGGGCGCGUAGGCGGGGAUAUAAGUCAGAUGUGAAAUCCUGGGGCUCAACCUCAGAACUGCAUUUGAAACUGUAUCUCUAGAGGGUAGGAGGAGAAAACGGAAUUCCACAAGUAGCGGUGAAAUGCGUAGAUAUGUGGAAGAACACCGGUGGCGAAGGCGGUUUUCUAUCUUAUUCCUGACGCUGAGGCGCGAAAGCAAGGGGAUCAAACAGG